rnacentral:rRNA from 1 species
UUGAACGCUGGCGGCAUGCUUUUACACAUGCAAGUCGAGCGGCAGCGCGGGGGCAACCCUGGCGGCGAGCGGCGAACGGGGUUGAGUAACACAAUCGGAAACGUGUCCUGGGGUGGGGGGAUAAACCUGGCGAAAGCCAGGCUAAUACCGCAUGAGCUUCGGGAGAGGAAAGCGGGGGACUCGGCAAGAAGCCUCGCGCCGCUGGAGCGGCCGAUGUCCGAUUAGCUAGUAGGGUGGGGGUAAAGGCCCACCUAGGCUGCGAUCGGUAGCUGGUCUGAGAGGAUGAUCAGCCACACUGGGACUGAGACAACGGCCCAGACUCCUACGGGAGGCAGCAGUGGGGAAUUUUGGACAAUGGGGGCAACCCUGAUCCAGCCAUGCCGCGUUGAGUGAAGAAGGCCUUUCGGGUUGUAAAGCUCUUUCGGUGGGAACGAAACGGGGGCGUGCCAAUACCACGCACCAAUGACGGUACUCACAGAAGAAGCAACCGGCUAACUACGUGGCCAGCAGCCGCGGUAAUACGUAGGGUGCGAAGCGUUAAUCGGAAUUACUGGGCGUAAAGCGUGCGCAGGCGGUUUCACAAGCUCGAUGUGAAAGCCCCGGGGCUUAACCUGGGAAUGGCAUUGAGGACUGUGGAGCUCGAGUGCGGCCAGAGGGAGGUGGAAUUCCACGUGUAGCAGUUGAAAUGCGUAGAGAUGUGGAGGAACACCGAUGGCGAAGGCAGCCUCCUGGGCCGACACUGACGCUCAUGCACGAAAGCGUGGGGAGCAAACAGGAUUAGAUACCCUGGUAGUCCACGCCCUAAACGAUGUCAACUGGUUUGUUGGGGGAAGGAAACUUCCUUGGUAACGAAGCUAACGCGUGAAGUUGACCGCCUGGGGGAGUACGGCCGCAAGGUUUAAAACUCAAAGGAAUUGACGGGGAACCCGCACAAGCGGUGGAUGAUGUGGAUUAAUUCGAUGCAACGCGAAGAAACCUUACCUACCCUUGACAUGCCAGGGGAGAGCCGGAUGAGAGUUCGGUGUGCCCGAAAGGGAGCCUGGACACAGGUGCUGCAUGGCUGUCGUCAGCUCGUGUCGUGAGAUGUUGGGUUAAGUCCCGCAAACGAGCGCAACCCUUAUCCCUAGUUGCUACCGGAUCAAGCCGAGCACUCUAGUGAGAACUGCCGUCGGAUAAACGAGGAGGAAGGUGGGGGAUGACGUCAAGUCCUCAUGGCCCUUAUGGGUCCUAGGGCCUACCACACGUGCUACAAAUGGUCGCAUUACAGACCGGGUCGCAAAACCCGUGAGGGGGGAGCUUAAAUCUCAGGAAAAGUAGCCGGCCUCAGUAGUCCGGAUUGUAGUCUGCAACUCGAGCGCCAUGGAAGUCGGAAUCGCUAGUAAUCGCGGAUCAGAACUGCCGCGGUGAAUACGUUCCCGGGUCCUUGUACACACCGCCCAGUCACAUCCAUGGAAGUGGGCCGUACUAGAAGCAGGUAGUCCUAACCGCAAGGGAGGGCAGCCUUACCAAGGUGAGCAUCUCAUGACUUGGGGUG